CCUACGGGUGGCAGCAGUGAGGAAUAUUGGUCAAUGGUCGGGAGACUGACCCAGCCAAGCCGCGUGAGGGAUGAAGGUACAGAGUAUCGUAAACCUCUUUUGUCAGGGAACAAAGGCGGGGACGUGUCCCCGGAUGAGUGUACCUGAAGAAAAAGCAUAGGCUAACUCCGUGCCAGCAGCCGCGGUAAUACGGAGGAUGCGAGCGUUAUCCGGAUUUCUUGGGUUUAAGGGGUGCGCAGGCGGUCUGUUCAGUCAGCGGUCAAAGCCCGGGGCUCAACCCCGGCCCGCCGUUGAGACUGGCAGUCGCGAGUUGGAGAGAAGGAUGCGGAAUGCGCGGUGUAGCGGUGAAAUGCAUAGAUAUCGCGCAGAACUCCGAUUGCGAAGGCAGCAUGCCGGCUCCACACUGACGCUGAGGCACGAAAGCGUGGGUAUCGAACAGGAUUAGAUACCCGAGUAGUC
rnacentral:rRNA from 1 species